GGGCAAUUAGCUCAGUUGGAUAGAGCGUUGGCCUCCGGAGCCAAAGGCCGCAGGUUCGAAUCCUGCAUUGCCCACCA
rnacentral:tRNA from 8 species